UUCUGUUUGUAGAGGGUUAUAUUCCUCUCUGCUAAUUAUGACUUCAACCUCAUUCAUUUAGUAACCCUCUUUCAUUCUUUACUUAUCCCGGAUUUUGGAUGGUAAGACGGGAUUUAUCAGUUCAGCGAUCUAUGAAGAUCAGACAAGCUUCGGGAAUUUUUGUCUAAUCCCAUUCAAGAUACCAUGCUGCAUUUACUUAUCAUUUUUCCUAGUCAUCUGUGUCACCUUUUGAUGACUGAUGACUCUCCUCUGCAUUUUGCCUAAGAUAACAAGCAUCACAUUGGAAUCUUAUGAACUCUCCACCUUCAGGUCAAGUCCGUAUUGUGGAAGACAUCAUGCACUUCAUAAACAAAGUCAAAAGACCCCUGAGUUCAAAUUGACCUGAAUGCUUCCUCCCGGAGGACUAGAUUUCAAGUCACCUGAAGGCGUCAUCCAAGCUUCCAAAGGACAGAGGCUACCAAAAGUCCUACCAAUCUGUGACAACUAUGAACCAUAUCAAUGGCAAGAAUAGUAUGAAAACCCUAAGGGGGUAACCGUGACAUGCAUAACAUUGUGGUAAACGACAACUCUCUAAUUAUACUUAAGAUCCAUUUAACAAGAGGAAAACCAUGUCUGGUACUAGAAACCUAACUAACUACUCAAUGCUAGUAAAGUCAUGGAGGAGAAUCUGCAACCACUACUUUGCUUAUCCAAUACAUUCUCUGUGAUGGUUUGAAAGAAAAUGGCCCCCACAGGCUUACAGGGAGUGCCACUGUUCGAAAGAAUUAGGAUGUAUGGCCUUAUUGGAGUACAUGUAGUUUUGUUGGAGGAAAUGUGUCAUUUGGUGUGAGCUUGAAGUUUCAGAUACUCAAACCAGGCCCAGUGGUUCUCUCCUCCUACUCCCUGCCACUCCAAAUCUAAAACUCUUGGCCUCUUCUUCAGUCUCUUCUUCAGUAUUAUGUCUGCCUACAGUGCUGCCAUGCUUCCUGAUGUGAUGAUAAUGGACUAAAUCUCUAAACUAUCCCCAAUUAAAUAUUGUCUUUUGUAAGGGUUGCAACGGUCAUGGUGUCUCUUCACAGCAACAGAAACUCUCACACAAUCCCUGGCAAUAAUCUACGAGCAUUUGUCUGUAUACCCACAGAUAAGUAUAGUCCUCACCCCUCCUACUUCAUCAAGGAACAUUUUCUUUGAAACAGAUGGAGACCACCGAGGAAAAGCACAACCAGUAUCAAAAUGCAGAGUUGUGGAUCCCAGUCCCAAUUGAAUACAGCUAUAAAAUACUUGUACACCUAAGGGUCAGGGAACAUUAUGGAAGAGGGGGCCAGAAAGAUUGUAAGAGCCAGAGGAUAAAGGAGUUUGCUGUGAGAUUAUAUGAAAAAAAAAAAAAACAUUGACAUCCAUAAACUCUCACCAACAUAACUGUCCAAACACAGUCUAAACAAAGAUAAAAUGAUGGACAUAGAAUACUGAGUGGAGAAAAGCCCAUGAGACCUAAACCAUACAAAAAGAACUAUAGACAAUCAAGGAAGCUGGAAGUGGGAGAGGUGAUCUUAACCCAGGGACGAGUACAAUUGGUUCUCCAUGGUAACCCAUGGAAACAUACAUACAAGUACCACUCUACAGAUUGAGCAGAUUAUAUUUAGGAAUAUAUAUCCAUACACACACACACACACACACACACACACACCACACACACACACACACACACACACACACACACAAUAUGAAUGCAAUAGAAAUUAUUGAAAAAAGUGCCCAUGAAUUUGAAAUUUGAAGGAGAGUGUAGUGGAGUGUAUGGGAUGGUUUCAACAGAGGAAAAGGGAGAAAUAGUUUAAUUCUAUUACAAUCUCAAAAAUAAAAACAAUGAUUUUUUUAAAGUCUCCACGAAA